rnacentral:rRNA from 1 species
GAUGAACGCUGGCGGCGUGCCUAAUACAUGCAAGUCGAGCGAACAGACGAGGAGCUUGCUCCUCUGACGUUAGCGGCGGACGGGUGAGUAACACGUGUAUAACCUACCUAUAAGACUGGGAUAACUUCGGGAAACCGGAGCUAAUACCGGAUAAUAUAUUGAACCGCAUGGUUCAAUAGUGAAAGACGGUUUUGCUGUCACUUAUAGAUGGAUCCGCGCCGCAUUAGCUAGUUGGUAAGGUAACGGCUUACCAAGGCAACCAUGCGUAGCCGACCUGAGAGGGUGAUAGGCCACACUGGAACGGAGACACGGUCAAGACUCCUACGGGAGGCAGCAGUAGGGAAUCUUACGCAAUGGGCGAAAGCCUGACGGAGCAACGGCGCGUGAGUGAUGAAGGUGUUCGGAUCGUAAAACUCUGUUAUUAGGGAAGAACAAAUGUGUAAGUAACUAUGCACGUCUUGACGGUACCUAAUCAGAAAGCCACGGCUAACUACGUG